UCCGGUUUGACACCGGCAGUCUUCCAUGAGUCCCCAGCCGAACUGCUGGCAACAUGGAAUAGGGGUUGCGCUCGUUGCGGGACUUAAGCCAACAUCUCACGACACGAGCUGACGACAGCCAUGCACCACCUGUACACCUCGGACGAACCCACUGCAUCUCUGCAGAUGAACGGUGUAUGUCAAGCCCAGGUAAGGUUCUUCGCGUUGCGCAACUAACCA
rnacentral:misc_RNA from 1 species